UCCGUAGGUGGAUAAUUAAGUCAGAGGUGAAAUCCUGCAGCUCAACUGUAGAACUGCCAUUGAUACUGCGAGUCUUGAAUAUGGUUGAGGUAGGCGGAAUGUGUUGUGUAGCGGUGAAAUGCAUAGAUAUGACACAGAACGCCAAUUGCGAAGGCAGCUUACUAAGCCAUUAUUGACGCUGAGGCACGAAAGCGUGGGGAGCGAACAGGAUUAGAUACCCUGGUAGUCC
rnacentral:rRNA from 1 species